rnacentral:rRNA from 1 species
UACGUAGGGGGCAAGCGUUGUCCGGAUUCCUUGGGCGUAAAGAGCGUGUAGGCGGCCAGGUAGGUCGGUUGUGAAAACUGGAGGCUCAACCUUCAGAGGUCGACCGAAACCAUCUGGCUAGAGUCCGGGAGAGGAGAGUGGAAUUCCUGGUGUAGCGGUGAAAUGCGCAGAUAUCAGGAAGAACACCCGUGGCGAAAGCGGCUCUCUGGAACGGUACUGACGCUGAGACGCGAAAGCGUGGGGAGCAAACAGG